CCUACGGGAGGCUGCAGUGGGGAAUAUUGGACAAUGGGGGCAACCCUGAUCCAGCCAUGCCGCGUGUGUGAAGAAGGCCCUCGGGUUGUAAAGCACUUUCAGUGAGGAAGAACGCCUGGUGGUUAAUACCCAUCAGGAAAGACAUCACUCACAGAAGAAGCACCGGCUAACUCCGUGCCAGCAGCCGCGGUAAUACGGAGGGUGCGAGCGUUAAUCGGAAUUACUGGGCGUAAAGCGCGCGUAGGUGGCUUGAUAAGCCGGUUGUGAAAGCCCCGGGCUCAACCUGGGAACGACAUCCGGAACUGUCAAGCUAGAGUGCAGGAGAGGAAGGUAGAAUUCCCGGUGUAGCGGUGAAAUGCGUAGAGAUCGGGAGGAAUACCAGUGGCGAAGGCGGCCUUCUGGACUGACACUGACACUGAGGUGCGAAAGCGUGGGUAGCAAACAGGAUUAGAUACCCGAGUAGUC
rnacentral:rRNA from 1 species